UGAGACACACAUAUGUCAAACCUGGGGUUUGAACUCUAAUGGGCUAGGGGUACAACCAUCCUCCUAACCACAACCUCAGAUUGGUUCUCUCUUCCAACACCAUAGAUAUAAUAGACAUGUCUUUUUCUCUCAUCCAACACCAUAGAUAGAAUAGACAACACUUUUCCUGUGGGGUUUGCUCGUCCAUUUUCGGAUGCUAUUGCACACUAUUUUCAGGGGCUGGAUCACCACGUGCAUGGCUUGGAAACACACGCAUCCAUGCACCAACAUGGACGUGUUGCAUGGGGUAAAGGAAGAUCAUCGUUCGCAUGCUCUGGCGCCUAAGCACAGAGCUCGACGACGACGUGGGUGAAGACGCAGGUCAAGAGCAUGAAGGGUGACGCGCAAGCCUAGGAGGGUGGAAAUGACAACCUUGAUGCAACCGGUUCAUACUAACCUCCCUUGAUAGAUCCGAUGCUUAUUAAAAUGUGAAGAACAAGGUUCUAUUGAGUUGGAGAAUCAGAUAGGUGGCUCGCAGUGAUGACUCACGUAUGUAUACAAAGUGGCAUAGAAUCCAAGAGGUAAAGGAAGUUUCUGGCUUUCUGCUAGCAUCAUGGCAGGUGCCGCUUGGACCAUGCCAUACUCGUCACAUGAGGCCACUCGUACCGGGCGUUUGAGGCAUACUGUGUGGAGAAGAAGGAUGCCGGCGAGCAUCAUCCGGGGAGGGUGACAAGCAAUUGUAACUAUUGUAGGGAGAAUUGUGCUAUGUUGUCGCAUGCCAACUUCAGUAGGGCCCCACUGCCUGGCACUUCUCGCUAGGCUUGCCGCUACCUGGAACGCCUCUUUCUGGCCGAACAAUGUUCGGCGAGUCUGGCACUCCUCACCACGCUUCCCACUGUCGGGAAUGUCUCUGUUGUGACCCUCUGCUACACCCGGCUGCGGUGUUUGUGCCAUUGGAUCAAAUUCC